rnacentral:lncRNA from 1 species
GGGCAAACGCUACCGACAUUGCAUACGCCUCAUUUCAGCAGCGCCAUGUGCCGAGUUUGGAGUCUUAUUUUGAUAAUAUGCGUUCUUACGCGUAUCAGCCAAACGGAUCCUAUGGAGCCUGGGCGAGGUGCGGGUAAAUCGUCAUCUGCAGGAGAGGAGAAAAAGUCCAAAAAGUCGACGACAACGGGGACUUCUGGAGAUCUUACGAAGCCUUUGUUGAGCACGAGCGGGGAAUCAACAGAAGUAAGCUCAGGGGCACCCAAGUCUGAGACAGCUUCAUUAACAGAAGAUUUCACCUUCCCCCGGCCUGGUGAGGGAGCUGGUUACACUAGAUUGAAAGAUGAAAAAUUAGGAAAGCUGAAAGAGCUUUCAGGAUCACAGAGGCCCUUGCUGGGGGAAGAAACGGGACCACCUACCGAAACAACUGCAGAGAUGCCACGGCGGAGGGCAGGAAAAGCUCCGGUAAAAGAAGACUCACCAGGGCCAAUAACAGCAUCAUACGAGAAGUUGGAACAGACUAAGGAUAGUACACCUAUCUGUCGGCUGGGCUUUUUCUAUCCAGCGACAAAAGAUGGUGAGAUCGAGGAAAAAGAAUGCGGAGUUCAUUGCAAGACCCACUUCGGAAAAAUUGUUUCAAGCUCUGGAGACUCGAUAGACAUUGCUGUACCCGGGAUAUAUAAAGGACAAAUAUGCCGCUGCAUUUUUAAUUACGGUAGACUUAAAGAUUACAUCACAAAUCGUUUGUCUGAGAAGGACUUCGACGAUUUCUUCAAUCUUGCUUGCGACGACGGAUUCUGCGCUGCAAGAGUUUGGUUAAAGGAUAACAAAUUCAAAGUCGAGAUUGAGUAUGAAAUGGAAGCUAAGAAACAAAAGUCACCGGUCACGGCCUCAACAAUGGUAACACCACAGAAGUCAACGACAAAUACACCAGACCGGUCACCUCCUCAGACACGUACUCAGACACCCUCUCGGACACCUUUUCAGUCACCUUCUCGAACGCCGGAUAGAUUCUCUAUGCAGACAUCGAAAGAUUCUGGCGGGGUACAUAAAAGCAAGGGUGUGGCGAAGUCAUCAACUGGGACAGCGACAGCACCUGGCACACCUCAUCGAAGUCCUAUGCGAACAGCUCCUGGAACGCCGGACAGAUUCUUUACGGGUGGAGACACAUCAACGUAUACUGUAAUGACACCACCGAAAGAAGUUAUUGUGGGGGCUUUCACAACAACAGAUGGCUCUUUCACGCUGGAGAUGUGCGCCCAUUCCUGCCGCACAGCAUUUGGAAACAUUCUCAGCCCCGAGUCUGCCUAUACAGAGAAAAUGCCUUUCACCAAGGCAAAAUUGACUGCGGAUGGAAAGACCUGCAACUGUAUGCUGCGAUCCAUCGUUCCACAAUUCUGCUAUGAUAAGAGCAUCCGCUACGAUAUGUUGGUUAAAAAAAUCACAAAAUACUUUUUCUGUGCCGGAAAGGUAUACAUCGAGAGUUCCAAAACACCAAAAACGAAUAUAGAGAUUGAGUACGAACGGGCUGCUCGUCCGCCACACAAUAAGAAUAAGGACAAAAAAACCCCCAAUGUUCGGAUUUCAGUUCCAGGCCGUGAUGAGCAGCAUGAGAACCAUGGCCCUGGAUUUGAUGGGGUACGAGAACUAAGCAUUAUCAUGGGGACUUUUGAUAAAGGAGUAUGGAAAAAAAAAGUAACGCAUGAUAUGUGUCAACAAAAAUGCAAUGAACAUUUCGGCUACAUUUAUUUGAAUGAUACGUAUAAAACACAUUUCACUAUUGGAGAGCUGAACAUCGACUGGCAUAAAUGCAAGUGUUUCGUGAAUGUUGAGCCCAUUAAGGAGAAAAUUGAUGAAAGGUUAGCUCAACGAAACCAUAAUUGGAUAGAGUUCUCCGAAAGCUGUAAGACUAAGAAUGGAUACUUUACGGUGAUAGAUUUUUUAAUCACGCAUGAAGAAUACGGAUUGAAGAUCGAGCCUGGAAAUGCGGUGACCGCUGAAGAGAGACAGCGCUUACGUCAGUCAAAAAGAAGAGUCGACGCGAAAGAGAAGAGAGCACUUCGAAUGGAAAUUCGUCAAAAAGAAAAAAAAUUGUUCAGGUCAAUGCAAUACAAACUUGGAGAAUGCGAAGUGUAUUGCAAUACGCGUUUUGGUUUCGUCUUCGGGUAUCCGACGCCUGUCCCAUUCACCAAACCUGAACUGUCGGAGGACAAAUAUAGUUGUGAAUGCUGGUUGAAUGUAAAACCUCUCUCUUAUUUUCUUCCCGUACGCAAUGUGGAUUGGGAUGAAUUUUCGACGCCUGCGAGAACUCUUACGAGAGGGGUGUUAGAUUUUUAAGAAAUGGUGGGACUAACGUCCCACCAUGGAUAGGCCGAGAAAAGAAAUUCCCAAGAAUUGAUGUCGUGGAUAAAAAUGGGAAUCUGAAAAUUCUACCAGGAGAUCCUCCCGUCCGCGGUGGCCCAUCGUCGUCUGAGACUCCCGUCCCGGACGUCCCAUCGAAUCCAACUGUAACCUGAGCCUUCCAUUUGUAUCCAUGCACUGCUUAAUAAUGUUUAUAUAACUAAAAAUGUAUACGCAUAACGUACUUGUAAGACAUUAAUAGCCUGAGAUGCUGAAUGUCUCUAAUAAAAUCAACCAACUAAAAGCGUUAAUUCUUGAAAGGCUCCGUGAUUUUGCCUCUAUGUUUGAAGCAAAUUCUGAAAUUACAUCAAGAAAUAAUGUCGAUUUUUGUUCCUUUAGAAAUAUAAAAUCGAGCGGAGAUUUUGAAACACCGCAAACGAGAUACAUAUAGUUAGGGAGUUUCGCUGUCAACAAAGGUACAAUACUUUGUAUUCGCUGAAUUGACGUUAAGUUUUUACCUUGUCUCAUCUCCAAUAAGUAUCUCAAAUCCUACCGCCCAAGUAGCGUAGAUUGCUAUUAAUGGACCACUAGACAAGGCACGAAUUGAAGCAUUCUGAUACAUUUGUCUUAACCAGAACUUCAAGUAGAACACGAUUCGCGCAACGAAAGUUACUGAAACCAACCUUAACGAAGAUAUUAACCUUUAUUUAUUUCACAUUGGUUAUGCGGAUUUUGAACUGCCCGCUCACAAGAAACUCAAAGCUCUACGUGAGUCAAAUCGCGCACUACAACGGUUUCAGCAAGCCUCUUCAUCUUCACCAAGAAUCAUUAAAUAUCUGCAUAAGGAGUUGAUUUCGGUAAUUUUCGUCGUGCGUAUCGUAUUCUACGUGAAAUUUUGGUUAAGAAACGUGUAUCAGAAUGCUGAAAUUCGUACCUCGUCUAGUGGUCCAUUGAAAAUACAUGUUAAAAUUAUUGCCAAUGUGUUAGAGUGUUGCGUACGUUGUCUACUUACUGAUUGGAAGGGCUCCUUUAUUGAAAUUCAUUGCAAUACAUUUUAAAUAAGAAAGUUCCAAUUUUGUUUGCAUCGGAAAUUGCCUAACUUUCUCACGCAUGGAGCGCAAUAUUGCUGAUCGUUUAAAAUCGGCAUUUAUGGACCAAAUAGGCCUAAUGCAAACUUUUGCUAGAGCAAAAAGAAGAGUUGUAACUCAUAGAAAAUGUCUCAAAAAUUACCGUGAGCGAAUCAGCAAAGACUGAAAUGCACUCCUAACUUCACAAUCUGCGCGAGAAAUUCGCGUUUUUUUAUGCUUCCCGCUUCAAAAAGGAGACUCUCGAUAAUUCGAAAACCUCGUUAAUUCGAAGGAAAGUCCGUUUCCUUUGAAAAUCUCUCGAUAAUACGAAGAAAAUCAAUGCAUUUUUCUCCCCUCGUUAUUUCGAAAUUUUUGAACUAUAUAAUUCAAAAUUGCGACGAAAAUUCUCUCUGUAAUUCGAAGUGUGGGAAGUAAAUAUGGUCCUCCCACUAUAGUUCGAAAUAAGACGGUGCAUUCCCUCUACAAUUCGAAGUCAACUGUUUAUGUACCUGGGUGUCUGAAAGAGCUGAUAGGAUUGUCAAAAUGUAAACAUGUAAUUAAUAGUUUUAAAAAUGAAUAUAAAUAAUUAAUACUUAAUAAUAACUUAGUGUAAUUUUUACCUCCGUAAAGAAAUAAACUAAUAUUUUUGGUUCCUUUUGACGUAAAUCCGUCCAUUUGCCUCUCUACAUUCGAACCUCUCUAAUUCGAAAUUUCUCCACAUGAAUCUCCUUAAUUCGAACUCUCUUUACUUCGAAACCUCGCUAAUUCGAGGAAAAAGCCGAUUCCCUUCAAUUUCGAAUUAUCGAGAGUCCAAUGUACCACGGACUACGGCACAGGUGAACUUUUCGUAAGAGGAGUCGCUCCAUUCAAUCCCUUCUUAACAGUAGAGUCCCUAUAUACUGAGAGUCAAGACAAUGUGAAUCCAUUUCUGAUUGGUUCCCUUAUUUUAGGCCUUCACAGUGUCACAAACGGGAAUAAAGAUUACAUUUUCGCCGAUUGCAAAGAUUAUAAUCUGGAAUGGACCAGGGAAUUAUGGGUUCGGAAAGAAACAAACGGGAAUGAGAGAAGGAACGGAGAAAGGAAUUUGAGAAUGGGCCGAUCAAAGAUUACGAAAAACGUUCAAUUUCUGUAAUCUUUAUUCCCGUUUGUGACUCCAUGAGGGGUGUUGUCUUGACUCUCAUUGUCAGUAUAAAGGGACUCUAACUCAACAUGAUAGACGCUUCCGCGCGCAAGUUGAAGAGAGCACGAGGUCAAUCAAGGCAGAUAUCUAUCAACGCGAGAAAAAUGUGAAUGUAAACACGCUGAUUGUUAUCAGGUUGUUAUAGAAUCAUCGUCCCAUUAGUAUUUUGGCGGAUUGGCGUUGGCUAUGUUGAAUAUUGCGGAGCAUCCUUGUGAAUGACUCCUCUAACGAAAUGUUCACCCGUGCCAUGGUAGGUAUCGUUUUUGAAGCGGGAAGCUCGAAAAGACGCAAAUUUCAUGUGCAAGUUGUGAAGUAAGGUGUUCAUUUCAGCCUCCGCCGUACAAUUCUUAUUUUUGCUUUAGCAAAAGUUUGCAACAGGCCCAUUAUGUGAAAAUAUUGCAAGUUCAUGGGAAAAAAUUAUUUAAUACUUCAUUAUUAAAAUAUUUCCGUUCCACUUUGCUACUUGGGCAUUCGGUUCUGAAUUGGUCUUAUGACUGUGGAGUUAUUACCAGCACUAUUUCGCAUUACUUAUUGUUGAGUUAAAGAGUUGCACUUCCUUUUUCCAAUACGCAUUUCCCCGGUUUUUGUUCCUUCUGAAAAUCAGCUAAAAAGCCCAGAUAAUGACUUACAAUAGAGAUGGUAACGAAUGAAGAACAACUUAAUC